rnacentral:rRNA from 1 species
CUUUSAACAAGAAAGANACAAUGAAAUUKAAUACAUUUSAUUAUUGANGUUACUUGUAAAAGANGCACCGGCUAACUCCGUGCCAGCNGCCGCGGUAAUACGGAGGGUGCUAGCGUUAAUCGGAAUUACUGGGCGUAAAGAGCACGUAGGCGGUUAAUUAAGUCAGAUGUGAAAUCCCUAGGCUUAACUUAGGAACUGCAUUUGAAACUAAUUAACUCGAGUUUCGUAGAGGGGGGUAGAAUUCUAGGUGUAGCGGUGAAAUGCGUAGAUAUCUGGAGGAAUACCAGUGGCGAAGGCGGCCCCCUGGACGAAUACUGACGCUCAGGUGCGAAAGCAUGGGGAGCAAACAGGAUUAGAUACCCUGGUAGUCCAUGCUGUAAACGAUGUCGACUUGAAGGUUGUAAGCUUGACUUAUAACUUUCGUAGCUAACGCGUUAAGUCGACCGCCUGGGGAGUACGACCGCAAGGUUAAAACUCAAAUGAAUUGACGGGGGCCCGCACAAGCGGUGGAGCAUGUGGUUUAAUUCGAUGCAACGCGAAAAACCUUACCUGGUCUUGACAUCCAUGGAAUUUAAUAGAGAUAUUUUAGUGCCUUCGGGAACCAUGAGACAGGUGCUGCAUGGCUGUCGUCAGCUCGUGUUGUGAAAUGUUGGGUUAAGUCCCGCAACGAGCGCAACCCUUAUUCUUUGUUGCCAUCAGUUAGGCUGGGAACUCAAAGAAGACUGCCGGUGAUAAACCGGAGGAAGGUGAGGACGACGUCAAGUCAUCAUGGCCCUUACGACCAGGGCUACACACGUGCUACAAUGGUAUAUACAAAGAGAAGCAUCCUUGUAAAAGUAAGCGGAUCUCACAAAAUAUAUCUUAGUUCGGAUUAGAGUCUGCAACUCGACUCUAUGAAGUCGGAAUCGYUAGUAAUCGUAGAUCAGAAUGCUACGGUGAAUACGUUCCCGGGCCUUGUACACACCGCCCGUCACACCAUGGAAGUGGGUUGUAAAAGAAGUAAGUUGUUUAACCUUUNNNNNAAGGANGGNGCUUACNACUUUAUGA